CAGUAGAACGAAACGUAUGAAGGGGCUC
rnacentral:sRNA from 1 species